GUCCAAAAGCAUCUGCUCAGAGCCCGCACAGGCACGCACACGUGGCAAAGAGCUUGCCGCUUGUGUUCGGCCAAUGUACAGCUACAGAAGAAUUUUCUGAAAUCCGUUGCUGCAAACGCUUCAUGAGCAGAACUUUCAAAGGCAAUGGGAAAAAUAACGUGAUGGAGAAAAGGACUUCAGAUGAAAGGUUGGGAGACAAACAAUCUCACAGUCUCUCACCAGCUCAUCAGAGUCAUCGGCGUCCACUUCCAGGAACAUGACGUCGUUGUGCUUCAGAGACAAAGAAUGGAAAAGCGGCCGGAUGGUCCUGCAGGGCCCACACCAUGUGGCUGAGAAGUCCACAGCCACCAGCCUCUCCCCAGCCUCCUUAAGCGCCUCCUGGAAGUCCUGCUUGCCCAUGAUCACCUUCACCACAUCCUCCGUGGGGAGCUCCACUGAUUCUUUUUUGGAGUCUUCCUUGGGCUCCACGGUUUCCUCUGAGGACUGGGAGGUGUCACCCUCUCUGGGCUGGGGGGCUUCCUCUGGGAGCUUGGGGAUGGCAUCCUCGCUGGGCUGGGUGGCUUCCUCUGAGGACUUGGGGACAUCGUCCUUUCUAUGUUGGGCUGUACUUGCUAAAGACUUGGGAAUGUUCUCUUGUUUGGGCUGGGUAUUUUUUGCCAAGGACUUGGGGGUAUUACUGUGUUUGGACUGGAUGGUGUUUGCUGGGGCCUUGAGAAUGUUCUCUGGGUUGAACUGCUUGGUUUUCUCUGAGGCCUUGGGAAUGCUCCCUCGGUGGAAAUGGUUGGUUUUGUCUGAGGCCUUGGGAAUGCUCCCUCGGUGGAAAUGGUUGGUUUUGUCUGAGGCCUUGGGAAUGCUCCCUCGGUGGAAAUGGUUGGUUUUGUCUGAGGCCUUGGAGCUGUCACCCACUUUGGGCUGAGUCAUUUCCUCCAAGGAUGUGGGGAUGCUGUCCUCUUCGGACAGGAUGGUUUUCUCUGAGGACUUGGGGGUGUUCCCCUGUUUGGGCUGGGUCUUUUUUACCAAAGACUUGGGGGUGUUGCUAUGCUUUGGCCGUGGGGUUUUAGCUGAGGUUCCAGAGAUGUUGCCUUUCUUGGGAUGCGUGGUGUCUUCUGGGAACUCAGGGACAUCGCUGCCUUUCUGCGGGAACUCAGACUCUUUGAUGGACGUGUGGAGUGCGUUGCUGGCCACGGGGAGAACAGCCAUCUUCUCCUCAGCCUGUGCUGUGCUCAAGGCCUGUGCUGUGUUCAGGACCUCUGCGACCAGAAGAGCCACAUGGCUCGAUGUAACCUGCAAUGGGCUUUCUGAACAAAACAGUAAAUAAAUAAAAUAAAAAUGCAAAAGAAACAAAAAGGGCUUUUGAUUAUCCGCUCCAAGGAAGAGGGAUGUCAUUCUUAGAGCUCACAAAUGCAAUCUGAUGAACAACGUGUUAAUUUAAAUAACUUUAUCCAACAGAAGGCUAUGCGGGGUGUGCACGCAUCAUUUAUAUACAUAACACUGGCCCCUUCUUCCCAAGAGCACAGGCCCCUAAGGCACCCUCCUCCCAGCCCUCUUACCAUUGGGGUCACCUCCGUGUGCUUCUUUUUGAGGGUCCAGUCUUGUUUCUGGUUUUUCUGGGGCUCCAGCUUGAGCAUUUUCCAUCUCAAACUCCUUUUCCAAACCCACUCCUGCUCCUUCAUAGAUGCCUUUGGGUGAAGACUGUACCUUCCAAUGUUUUCCAAUCGACGCAAGCUAACAUCAGAAUUAUAUUCAGGUAGCACUUUACAGUUGGUUUCCUGUAUCAGUACUACCAACAGCACUAUGGGAGCGCUUCAUGGUGGCUUCAUGCUGUUGGCCACACUGUGCCUGAGGCUGUAGUUACACAAUCCUGGGCAUUAUUUCCUAAAACACACCAAACCACUGAGGUAAGUACCAUUAUGAUCAGCACCUUCCAAAUUAUGUAGCUCACUCCAAGUCACAAACCCAGGGUGGGGGCUGUCCCAAGGCCCACACUCUGACCUGCUGCCCUGGGCUGUAGUCCGGGUGGAUAACAUGAACCUACUCUUCUAGAAUCUCCCUCCAGGAUUCUCC
ensembl:lincRNA